GCUUCGCUAUAGUAGGUUUUACUUACUGGAUGCAGCAAUUAGGAUGGAACUACAGCAUAUUUACGGAAAACAGGUGGAGUUGCUGAUAAAGCACUGAAAGAACAGAAGACGAGAGACCUACUGUACAAAGAGACAGAGCAGGUGGCCGUUACAAUGAUAAAGAGUCGAGCAGCUGCUGACUGAAGAAGCCUCUGUGUUUUGGUCAGGUCGGGUUAUGUUGUGUCUCCUCUGCAGGGAACCGAGGGAAACCAUCAGCAGAUCUGAGGCUGCAAACAGGCAGUGGGAUCCGUCUGACCUUCACUUUAACUGAUACCUCCUGCUUAAACACAAACAAACACAUCUAUCCUUUAAAUACACUUGAAGAAUAGCCCAGUUUUAUCAAGCAGCAGUAAAACACCGGUGACAUUUUGUUAAAGCAAAGAUCUGUUAUUUUAAGCUCAAGCUGAAGGGAGCUCACGGGAAGCAGUGUGUGGAUAUUUUACAUUCUCCUCUGUGAGUUCUUGAGGCACUCUUGCUAUGUACAAUUUCAAAAUGUGUUAUAAAAAUGUAACCGGACCAGUCAAAAACAUGAGUAGCAAUGCACUGUGAGGUAAAACCCAGAGCUU